UUUGGUUCUCAGCUGGGCCUGCAGCCACAUGCCUCUGAACUGGGUCACAUCCCCUGGUCAGAGCUUAUGCCUCAGAGCAGAGCCUGCUGUGUGGGAAAGCAGAAUCUAGCAACAGCCAACCCUGAGGACAGGUGGUGCCCGCUGGAGGGGUUCAAGGCUGUCAGCUGGGCUGCCGACCUGCCCAGAGGCUCUGCGGAUGGCAACGGUCCCCUCCCAGCUGGCCAUCGAGGAAAGCCAGGGAGCUCUCUCCCAGGCUCUCGCCAGCUGGAACGGGCACCCACAAAGAAGCGGGCACCGCCUGAGGCCAGCUGGCCCUCUGUGCCCAGCAAGAGCCGAGCUCCCUACGUCACUUCCCUGUCAUCUGUCGACAGGGAUGAUUCUCUACACCUGAUCGCUCUGGUCAGGAUGUGUGUGUGGCGGGCGGCCCAACGCGCAGGAGCUCAGCACGCAGUGGCUGAUUGUCCGAGUGACCACUGGGAGGCCCCAGUGACAGCAUGUGCUGUUGAAGACAGGAAGGUGCAGGAAGUAAGUAGAUAUUCACUCCCUCGCUCUGGUCCACGUCGCUAAGGUGACCACACUCAGAAUAGCAGGGAGAAGCCGAGAGACACCGGCGGGUGUGCCCAACAUGCAGUGUUUCAAAGAGCCCCACGGAGGAAUCCUUGACAUUUACCGCAGCAGAGGAAGCAUUCGGGCAGACACUCUCGUGUUCCUAGAAAGGAAGUCCUCGGUGUCUCGUCAGUGUCUUCCUAUAAUUAGUGUCAGACUGCAAUAGUAAUUAUACAAUUAGUUAUGUCAUGUAGAAUAUAAUUGAUAAACAUAAUGUUAUCCCAGGGAAAAUAAUGAUGGGCUAGAAAGUUCAUUUGGAAGAGAAUAACUGAGAAACUGUGGGACCAGUGGCAUGUGGCUCAGCGGUAGCACCUGUGUGGCAUGCACGAGGCCCUGAGUUACAGCCCCUACACACACAAAUCCUGUGAUUGUGACAGAGAUUAUUAUUAUUAUUAUUAUUUGGUAUAGGAGAUUGAGCUCACGACCUUGCACUUACCAGGCAGGUGCUUGAGCCACUGAGCUAAAUCCCCAGCUAAGCAGAUCUUAUCUGCUGGAAACCUGGCCUACUAUAAAGUGCAGAUAAGGAGGACAGUGUGGGUUGUGCCCAGGAGCUCCUGCUCUGGUCAAGGCUUAGGAAGCAUUGGUGAUGUGCCCCUUCUGUUGGGUGCUGUGGGCCCCCACUUGAGGACAGUGUGACCCCUGCCCCCACGGGCCUGGCUGUUCCCCAUCUCCCCUCUGGCUGUGAGUCCUGUGACCUCCCGAGCCUCUUCCCCCAUCCAAGUCCCCAGGUGGGGUUCAGGGCAGCACUCCAGGGAACCAGGGAAUGAGGCUGCUGAAGCCUUGGUGCUCUGCAGGGGGUGCCUGCAGGAACCCACAGUUGGUGAUUAUUUUAUCCCAUGAAAAUGACAGUGAAUAGGUGGACUGUUCGCUGGUUUGGGGGGCCAGGAGAAGCCCCGGGCACUUGCUCCGUCCUGGCCGCGGUGCUCUUGGCUCCGGUCCACAGAGCUAGUAUCCCCUGGGCAGCAGGGAACAGAUGGAGGUGGAGCCUCGGAGUAUUGUCCUGGGCCCCUGCUCCUCCUCUGCCCUCAGCUGGCUUUCCAGGUGGUUUUGUGGUUGUCUUGUGAUUGUUUUUCCUGAUCCAGCCCCACGGGCGGCCCUCCCUACCCCCUUCAAGUUCAGACUUGCAGAAGCUCAACCAGGCAGCCAGAAGCUCGCAGACCUCCUCGGUGGGGAAGGGCUGCUGUCCAGGCAGCUGUGUGUCUCUGUUGCCUGCCUGGGGUGCACCUGUACCUUGCAGAUCUAGGUUCCCACUCAGCCAGGCUCCCCACAUCCCAUGGGUUUCCAGCUGGGAUAGAAUAACGUCUCUUGGGACAAUUUGCCGGGAGUGACUCUGAGAGCACGGUGACAGAGAUUCUCUGUGUCCUAUGUGCCAUCAGGGCCGCCCAGGUCCCCGUGGGACUGCCAUCAUGACCGUCCCCUCUGAUGGGGAGAGCAGCAGCUCGGGUAGAAGUGGGAUGCUCUGAGGUGGCAGGUGGAUUGGUGGGAAGAGAACUGGAUGGGAAGUCCUGUCAUGGUCCCUGGGUUGGAGUCAUCGAGUCCUAGAAGCUGUGGUGACUGUGAUUUGGCUGAGCUCUCUGUCUUCUUGAAGCCAGUGUCCUGUUUGUCUGUGGUCCUCAUGAGCAUGGCCAUGUGUCCUGGAGGUGGCCCUACACUGCAUAAAGGAGUAGGGGCCACAGGGACUGGGUAGAGUCAUGGCCAUGUGACAAGUGACCUUGCACUAUAGCACUGGAUGGGGCUUCAUCCAGAGGGCUCUACCCCAUCCAGCUGGGCCUCAUCCAUGGUCACUUGGACACGGAAGGCAUGAGUACCUGGACAUCAGUAGAGACAGAACUUAGAGAUUGGGCAGAGUUGAGUGUCCCUUGCACUGUGCUCCGUGUCCCUGAGCUGUGCCAUCCAUCCCUUUCCUCCCUGGCUGGUAACCUGUGCCAACACCCAUUUCUCCCAUCUCUGUAAAGGGUACCAUCUGCCCCACAUUCCUCAGGCUCCACGCACAGGGUCCUGCAGUCCUCCCACUCGGAGGCGGGAUAAGAGGAUCGCUGCAAGGUCCUGGCCAGCCUGGACUACAAGGAAGAUCCUGUGUCCAAAAACCCAAAGGAAAAUAAAAGCCAGAGAAGCCACCUGGCUCCCUGGCUGCCUCCCUUCCACACAGAAGCCGGAGCCAGAACAGCUGAGAGUGUGCAGGUCUCCGUGUCACUGAAGGCCUCAGCCCCAGCCUCCCAGGGCAGGAGGCGAGGCGCGGGGCGCCCCAGGUCCCCAGCCCUCCGCACCGGGAGGCUCCUGUCUCGGGGAGAUGUGCUCCACUUCCUGCUCAGCGUUCCCUGUAACGAUGGUAACGCUUCUGCCCCAUUUCUUGAUUGGUUCAGAACUCGGGGAGGAAGGGAGACCUUCACAGCGCCCCCAACCCCCAUAGAAACACCACCACUCGCACCUCCGUGGCGUUUUAUAGGUCAAAGAACUCUCCUAUUUAUAGCCUCCUGGAAUCCUCUCUUCAGCUGCACAUACAGUGGUUAUUAUUAGCCUUUCCUUUACUAAUAAAAAAUGAAUACAGAAUUCAGGCAACGCCUGGAAUUCAGAGCUCACAAAAUUUUACCAUCACAGCGUGAGGUUUGAGUUCCUAUUAAAAUUGUUUUUUUUUUUUUACUAAAUUAUGAUAGUAAUCAAAUCAUGGUGGCAUCGGUGGGGGGAGAGGAAUUCAGGUCAAUGUAAGACCCACUUCCGGGGUGGUGACCAGACAGGAGCAGCUCAGGGGAGUCUCUCUGUUUACACCUGUGAUGACACAGCAUACACACACUCCCCAGAUGAGCGUGCAAACUCGGUGACAUCUGAACAAGGUCUGUGGUUGUUAGAGGAUGGUAUUGUUUGUAUCAAAUCGAAGUUCCUGAUUUUGAAGCUGUGCUAUGGAGACGUAAGAUGUUAGUGUUGGGGGAAGCCCGCUGGGGAAGGUACACGGGAACACUGUAUUAAUUUUGCAGCUUGUCAGUCUUAUUUUAUUUCAAAAUAAAAAUUUAAACACAUGCGGCUUCCACUGGAAAGAAGGUAUUAAGUUGAAUUCUGAGAAGGCAAAUGAACUUCCGCUUCCCUGCCGAUUGCAGUCCAUUCCCAGGGAUUCUCUGGAUCACAGUCCAGUGUGAGGGACUCUGGAACCACAUCAGGGCCCAGGGGGAAGGAGUGCAUUAAUCGAUUGGUGAUGUCUGCUCUGGACUGCAGAAGUGACUUGGGGGUCCUGGAGCAGGCACCUGCUGUCUGUGUGCACAGUUCCUGGUAGCUCUGCUGGGCCCACAGCAGUGACAGCAGAAGACAGUCCUGAGGGAGGGAGGAGGAGGGCGGCAGGUGCGCUCAAUGAUUCCCUUUAUGCCAAGUUUAAGAAGAGGCAGCAGGAAGCCACGGAGGCUUCUCAUGGGGAACGACCAGCAGGCGGCAUGCAGGUGAUGGCACGGUUCCCUUUCUUCAUAGGAGCUUUGGUUUCCCCCGUGUGUGUGUUCGCUACAAGUUAUUGACCUGCACUCUAAGACCUGUGCAUUUUAUUCUCUAUCAAUUAGACCUCGAUGAUUAAAAAUAAAGAGGAGCACAGGGCAGGUCUGUGCAGUGAAAACUGUGCCCAUUGGGAAGCAGAGUGGGAAACUCUCGGUCAUAUCAUUGCAGGGAAUUCCUCCUGGUGGGAUCCAGUGUUCAAAUGGACGGAGUUUUGCUGUACCCUUGGCCAUGGAACUGUGUGGGAUAAAAUCCCAGCCCUGUCACUGGCUAACUGGGUGCCCUUGGGCUACUGGUUAAUCCUCGUGCCUCAGUUUCCUCAGCUGUCACAUGAGGGUAACAAGAGUGCCCGCCUCCUGGUCUCUGUGAGUCCAGUGACUUAAUCAGAGAGGAGUUUAGAAGUGCAUCGUGGUGUACAAGAGCUGCUGCUGGGUGAUGACUACUCUGCUCUUUAAUUUGUAUUAGUAGUGUUUUCAGUACCUAAUGAUUACAUGCGUCAGGGAGCUGGUGCAUGCACAAAUCACGUCUCGGUUCUGUUUUCAUCCCCUUCCCUUCUCCUUCCUUUUCUCUCCUUUCAUCUCUGGUCCUUUUCCUUUUGCAAAAGAUCCGUGUCCUUGUUUCUCAUUAUCUAUUUCUCAUUUUGAACUUCAUUUACAUUUUGGGUUUUUUUCAAAUAAAAGAAGCCAUGCGAUAUUUAAGCUUAUGUGACCGAUUUAUUUUACUUGACAUUAUGAUCUCAAGGUGCAUCCAUGUUCUUACAAAUGACUCGGGUUUAUCAUUCUUGACGGCAUGGUGGCAUUCCACUGGGUAUAAAUACCACACUUUACUACGGCUCCUAUGGCUGACAGUUGUCCCUGUGAACACUCUGGUGCCAGGUUGAACCCGAAAAGCUUCCUGCGGCAUAGCUGAGACUUCCUGGGUGGAAACUCGGGGAAUGAAUGCUCCAGGAAGGCAACAGGGAUAUAAAUAAAUGCUCCUUGGCUCCCUGAAGUUAAGUCUGAGCCCUCAGAGUGAGCUGUGGCCCAGGCCUCACCUGCUCCCAUUCUGUGCCCUCAAGUGCUGGGUGAGUGCAUAGAGAGGUCACCCACGCCUCUGGGGAUUCAUUUCUUCCUCUUGGGCAGCAGAAGGGGAUCCAAGCCCUCCACCCUCCACCUGUGUCCUUUCCCCAGCUGCUGGUUUGAGAGCCUUGUUUGCAGGGUCGCUGGCCUCCCUCCUUUGGGGUUUAGUCUUUGGCUGGGGCCAACGUGGAGCAGCCUGGUGGGUGGCUGGGUGCUGUUUCUUUCCAGGAAGAAGUGUGGGCUGGACCCAGCAGAUCUGGCUGAACCGGGAGGGGAAGCAGAAGUUGUCCAGGGGCCCUCGCCUUGGGGAGAAGGAAGGAAGCAGUGGUCAGGGGCUGGCUGGAUUCCAGGUGGCAGGGGAUGGCCAGAACUAGGUGCCUCUCAUCCGCCCCCCCCCCCAGGGUCCCCAGAGACAGAGGAACAGGAAGGAAAGCAGGCCGCAGGCUGUGCAGGUGGCUUGGGGGCAGUACCGAAGUUUCCACAGAGCCAGGAACUCACCCACCAGAGAAGCUAGUAGUGGAGGGGGCUGUCCACAGGUGCUGGGAGACCAAGGCUUCCUUGGAAAACCAGUCUGUCUUUAUUUCACUGUCCACCCAUGCACCCAAAGCCUAUGUCCGUCCACCUCUCUGUCCACCCAGAGACAUUUGAUUGUGUCCAUGUUGUGUCAGGCAGGAGGCGUGUGCAGGUGGAUACAGAAUUUAAGAUCAAAGGGCUCCUUCCUACUCCGGGAUCCAAAUAGGAUCCUGGUGCUUACAGUACAGUACUGACCACACAGUGGGACUCAGAGAGGGACAGGAUGCUGGGUGCACAGAAGAGGGACACCUGGUCCCUGUGCCACUCAGGGCAGGCUUCCUGGAGGAGGAAGCCAUUGUGAACGUGGAAGAUCUAAUGUGCUAUGGUGGGGUCCAGGAUUCUAAGAGGCAGGUGGGUCUUAUCCAGUAUCUCCUGCCCCAGCUGGAAGCAAGUGCCGUGGGGCAGACAGAGGCACAGGACAAAAGGAUUCCUCCAUCCCUAGCUGCAAGGAGGAGCUGCCCCUACAGAGCAGGACACGGGCUUUGUACCGCUGUGAGAACAAUCAAUAAACCUCUGUUAUCUUAAGCCAUGCAUGUGGGGUGUUCUUUUGCAAGAGCGCCUCAUAUUUCCUUAAAGAAUGCACCCCACACCCUGUGAAGACAGGGAGAGGAGGGGAGGAGUGUGACAGAGGGAACUGAAUGUGUUCCAGCCCUAGGAAAGGACAGGAAGGUGUACUGAGCCCACGCUAAGCCGUAGGGGCUCCAUCAUAAGCCAGUGGGGUCCCCUGGGCUGGACCCUCAGGCAUGCGUGUCUCUUCCCUCAGGCUCAGAGAUCCCAGGUUCCUGAAUCACUGAUCAAAGUCCCCAAUCAGUGAGUGGCAUUUGGGGCUCAAACCCAGGUCCCCUAAGCACCCAGGAAAACCAAAUAAAUGUCCCAGAUGUUCUGGUUCCCCUUCUGGGGAAGCCCAAAGAGGCUUACACCGGCUACGUGAGUCCACCCACGUCAACCAGCUCCCACCCGUGGCUGGGAGGUAAGGGAAGUUACCUGCUCCUCUCUCCAGCAAUCUGGACAGAGUGAGCGGUGGGGCACCCAGCUCCCCACUGUCCCCCACAGAAAGCUGGAAGCAGACAUGGCUGCUGCCCUUGGCAGGGUUGGCCUGGCCACACCAGGGCACCCAUGACAGGCAGGAACGACUUGGGCUUCAACAAGGGUCCCCACUUCUUUGCCACUGCUCCCCAUUUUUGAAACCAGAAUGUUCCGGAUUACCUCUGUCCAAGGCCUUCCUGGGUUCUGCAGAGACCUCUGGUUUGGAUAGAGCCAGGCGUGAGGCUGAGGGCAGAGCUUCUGGCACUCCCCACUCUCACCCUGCCCUGUGAAGAGCAGCCCCCUCUUACCGUGCUCUGCUCCCCCAAAAGGCAGCAUCUGAAGAGAGAAAUUCACAGUUUAACAAUUUGGGAAAAAAAAAAAAAAAAAGAACUAGUCACGUCCAGUGCUCAAAUUCUCUAAAUGGAGGCUCUAGUUUCAGAAAAAUGAAACACAGUUGAUGAAAACACAGGCACAUAAGUGACAGAAAAUGGUCUGCUUGCCAUUUGUAUCUGCCUGUAGGCAUCUGCCCAUCUGUCCAUCCAUCCAUCCACCCACCCAUCUGUCCAUCCAUCCAUCCGUAUUAGUUACUUUUCUCAUUGCAGAGACCAAAUAACCAACAUCCAAAGGUAAAGGCGGAAAUGUUUCAUCAGCUCCCAAUUUGCAGAGGCUUCAGUCCGUAAUCAGCUGGCUCCACGGCAGGGUGGCAUCGCAGGGGAGAAAUUGUUCAUGAUGGGCAGAAGGUAGUGAAGCAAGCGUGGGGGACGAUGCGUCUCCGUCUGUCCCUUACAUCAUAUCCAGGCUGCCCGGAUUAGGAUAGUGCCAAACCAGUCAGUGGACUGACUUAGUGAUCAUCGAUCCUUAACUCUAGCACCCUUAACCCUAAUAUCGCACCACAAGUCAGUUACACACUCUAGAUCCAGCCACCUCUGAACGAACCUCAUCUGUGGCCACAUGAGGCUUGGGGGACAUCUAGACCCAGGUCAUAACACAUCCAGCCAGCCAGCAGGUACUUGAGGCUCCUGUGUUUUGCCUUAUUCACCUUGGGGCCAAGGUAAUCUCUUCUAAGCCUUGGCAACAUGGAAGAGAAGGAGCCCGAGUUCCACACAGAUUGGGGUGCAGCUUCCUUUCUGCCCACUUCUGGCACUGAGUCUGAGAGAAUGGAAGCCGUACUUUCUCCCUCUGGGCCGGGUAGGGGCACACCAGGUUGUGCCUUCUCAGCACCGAGUGUGUGUUCUGCAGCAGUGAGUGGGGAGGCUCUGGCUGCGCCCCAUCUGGAAGUGCUCAGGGCCCCGAGGGAAGCACAUCUCUGCUCCCCUUGCAGAGAGACAGCCCGAUCGUUGCUGGCCAGAGCUGGCGUCUUCCUCUUCCCCCCAUUGUCUGGGAGACCUCGCGUGCACUUGUCCGGGAGAUUUCCGCAGGAAUCGUGGUGUCCAGCCAGCUGGGCACAUGACGCACACCCGGUCUCCACCUCUUUGCUCACCCUCUCCCCCAGUGAGGGUGCCUGCAUGUACCUGGUGCCAUGCCCACAGCUCACCCGGUCAGUUGUCACUUCCUGAGACAAGCCAGCCCUGAACUGUCUUUAUUUUUCAUCAGGCUGCCACAAGUUACAUGUGUACCCUCCACUUGUCCAUUGCCUGCCGCACCCCAUGGGCUGCAAACAUCAAUAUGAUUGAUGCUCCUCGCUGCAUGCUGGGCACUUAAAGAGAGGGCAUCAGCAGUGAGCAGCUGGGAAAUCCUGACCUCCUGACUUCAAGCUUGUAUAUUUGCUGAAAUCACCUACAACCACCUCAGAGUAUCAAGCUGCCUGAGUCAGGGUGGGGAUAACGCAGGCCAGGCCUUCCCCCCAGAGGGGUGGGAAUGAAGGGCCCGGUCCCCGGCCGUAUGUGAGUGGCUGUGUAUGGAUCUACUCAUCCCCAAGGUUGUUGAGGGGAACCACUGGACCCUGUAAGCUUCAGAGGCCAGACCCGAGUUCAAGCCCUGGCUCCACCUCUUUCUGGAGGUCUCAAGGCCUCUCUGAACCCUGGUUCCUGUCUGAGCCCGGUUUCAUGUGGGCCCUAGUUCCCUCCCUCAUUCAUGACUGAGGUGACUCCUGUUUGGCUACUCGAGCGCUGGAUUCAGGGAUGAGCACAUAGGACACCAACCCUGCCUGUGAGUGCUGGGACCUUGACCGAGUUACACAACCUUCUGGGCCCUCAGGUUUUCUACUCCUAAGGUUUGUGACAUUUUUGUGAGUUCAUGCAUGUAAGCUGUUUGGAUCUGCGCCUGGCACUAAUAAUGCCUGUAUAAUUUUAUGUGUCAUGUUCACCCUUUAAAAAUCUGCUAUGUGUAGCAGAAUGUACCCUUCAGUACAUAGAAUGUAAAUUGAGUCAAAUAAAAAUGUUAUUUGUGUAAGACUUGUCAAAUCAUGUGUAUAAAUAUGUACAAUAUGUAUACAUAUACACACACGCAUGCUCAGCUGAGAGUGUGAUUUUCUUCUGAUACACACUUCAUAAAGUGAAGAUACAUUUCAUGCCUCACCUGCAGAACAUUUGUGUGCAGUGGCAGGUGUUAGUCACAGCUUCUGGAGGUCAGGGACUGCCUGGAGAGCUGAGGAUGCUCUUCACCUUGACUGGGGCACGUGACAGAGGUCACAAUGGUCCUCUCAGCCGCACAGAACCUCAGUGAUUUCCCCCGUGGCUCACUGUUUCCGCCCAGCAUCGCAGGGGAGUCCUGAACCACACCCCCGCAGCCCAGGACAAGGUCUCAAUUCAACAUUCAUACUAGGGCUGCAUGGUCGUAAAACUGAAGAACCCUAAACUGAAUCACUGUAGGCUGGGGACCCUCUGAAUCUCCACCCAUGUGACCUCACUCUCCAGCCAAGCUGCUCCCCACCAGCUCUCCAGAGACUUCCUUACGUUCUGUGGUCAGUUUGGCCAACUCCCCUCGACCCCUCCACCUGUCACUCCAGAUAGGUGCUGUUUGUGAUCUUCUGCUCUGACUUGUUUAACCUGUUCUGCUUUCUUUUCUUUUCUUUUUUUUUUUUUUUUUGUGGUACCGGGAUCGAACUCACAACCUCAUACUUGCCAGGCCAAUGCUUAAGCCACUGAGCUAAAUCUCCAGCCCUCAAGGACCAUUCUUUGUAGUAUUCCUUAUCAUAUUUUCUAUUCCUCUUUAAAGUAUUUAUUUUUGUUCUAUUUAUUUAUGGGCAUCUUUCAGGACUAAAACACACUCAUUUAACCGUCAGCUCCUACCUGGAAUUAUAAUGCCCUUUCCUGUGUGAUGUAAGAAUUCUAAAAUAUUAAGCUUCCACUUUAGCAUUUUUCAAUCUAUGCUGCUGUCGUCAGAUAUGUCACCUCUUUAGGACAUAAACUCUACAACUGUAGGGUUGUUUCUGCUUUAACUGUCCACUUUGAUAGCUCUGCCGAGGUUUACAUCGUAAGUGCAUAGUUAAUGAUUCUUAGUAAAUUUAUGAUGUUGCACAACUGCUGAUGUAACUCCAUCAGCCCAGAAAACUCCUUAAUCCACUUUCAAAACUUAGCAUUGUCCCAGCCGUGAGUCAUCACUAAGAUGCUCCAUGGAUCUAUAGUUUCACCUUUGAUCUUUCACAUCAAUGGAAUCGAACAGUGUGUCCGCUUUUGCAAUAGAUUCUUUUAUUUAACACAGUGCAGUGGAAGUAAACUUACAUUUCCCUUGUUAAGGAACUGCCAACUUUCUUUCCAAAAAGGCUGAGAUACUUUACAUUCUCACCUGCAGUUAAUGAUUACUUUUCUUAAAUAAUAAGAAAGUAGGAAACACAGUCUUUUGUAUUAAUUUGCAUGUCUAGCUUUUAAGGUGAUCUUUCUUCCCUAAAAUUAAAGAGCUAAGUUUCUACGUAGAAUAAUUUCCCUUCCUCCUGAAUAUCUUAUUUUGUGUAGGUUUGCUGGCAAUGAGUUCUCUCAGUUGUAAUUCAUCUCAAAAUAGCCUUAUUUCAUUUUAAUUUUUGAAGGAUAAUUUUACUGGAUGUAGAAUUUGAGGUGAACAGGAUUGGCUUCUUCCUGAUUUUCAAAGCUGUUUUCCAUUGUUGCUUUGCUUGCAUUGUUUUCAAUAAGAAGUCAGGAAACGUUCUUAUUUCCAUGGUCCUGGAUAUUCGAUGAUUUAGUUGUUUUUUUUGAGACAGGAUCUUUCUUGUAGUUCAAGGCUUUGAACUCACUAGUAGCCCAGGCUGGUCUUGAACUUGUGAUACUCCUGCCUCAGCCUCCUGAGUGCUAGGAUUAUGAGUAUACCACCUUGCCUGGUGUCCUAUCACAUCUUAAGCCUUUUUCUUUUUCUGGUUCUUUAAAGUUAUGUUUCAUUGCUUUUUAAAAAUCAGUGUCAUUGUAACGGUCUAGCUGUGGUUUUCUCUGCAUUCUUUUUUCUUUGUUCCUCCAGUUACAAGUCUAUAAACUGUUUGAUCUCACACCAGGGGUGACCAAUGCUGUCUUCAGCGUUUUUUCCCAAUCUUCUCUUCAGUGUCAGUGUUGGUUUAUUUAUUUAUUUCUUUUUUCUUUUUCCUUUUUAUUGGUACUGAGGAUCAAACUCACGACCGCCUGCUUGCAAGGCAGGUGCUUAUGCCGCUGAGCUAAAUCCCCAGCUCCUAGUGUUGGUUUAUUUUUGAUCUGUCUUCAGGUUUAGUGAUCUUUUUUCUCUUGGGUCAAAUCUACUGUUUAGUCAAUAUAUUUUCAGUUCCAAUAUUUUAAUUUUAAUUUUUUGAAUUGCCAUUUUGUUAUUUUUCAGCUUCCUAAAGUACACUUCUACAUCCAUUGUAUUUUAUUCUAUAACUAUAUAUAUAUGUAUAUAUAUAUAUAAUAAAACUCUUAAAACACUUUAGAAGAACUAUAUAUAUAUUUCUAUUAACAGUCAUUUCUGCAUUUAUUACUUGUGGUUUUCCUUUUGAUUAUGGGUCACAUUUUCCCUUUAUCUCUUGUUUAGUGUUUCAUUUUACUAUAUUCAUGGAAAUUAGGUAUAAAAUCAAUUGUGUUUGAGCGCGAUUCUGCGCUCGUUUUUGUUUCCUAGAAAGUCUGAUAUGCUCCCCGCUGCCUGUGAUGAGACAGAGGGAGCAGCUGACCACUUGGAGUUCUUUGAGCGAGUAAUUGAGCUGGGGAUGAGAAGGCGCUUUAAUUAGUCUGAGUUACCUGUAAUUAGCUCAGCCACCAACAUCCUCUGCCUUUUUUUUAUUAUUAUCUUGUCAGCAUUUGAGGUAGGAGGAGUCGGCUGCAAUUUCAGAUAUUUUGGGUUCUCAUUUAAAUCCGGUGACUUCGGGGCCCUGCAGUCCAAUCACUAGGAGAAUGUGCACAACGAUCCCUGUUUGCUCUGCUAAUGUGCCUGUCCUCCAGCUCUGCCUUCUAGAAGGGAGCCGGGCAGUGCAGGUGAGGAGGCCGAACUGCUGGACUGUGAUCUUCCUUGCGUUGGAGGCUGGCCCGUCUUGUGGCCUUGGUGACGUCUUGUACUUGGGAUUCUUCCAAACUCUGAUUUGACCUGCACGCUGGCCCAAGGCUGGGAUGAUUUUCUCUUGUCUUUGUACAGCUCUCUGUCAGUGCAGAUACACGAAGCGGUGCCUCCCCAGGAAAGGCGGCUGCUCGGCAUUUAUUUCUUCCUGGAAAUCAGUUCGCUGGGGCUUGAUUCCCAUGUUCUUCCUUAGUUCCACAAAAAGUUUGCUUUUUUUUCUGUUUCUUUGUUGUUGUUGUUGUUGCCAUAAAGACAAAGAUCUACUACACUCUCGAUCUUCAGCAGAGGUGUAAAUCGCCAUCAGUGUCAGCUAUUACUAUUAGCGGACACAGUCUUUGGUAAAAUAAGCCAGGAAGAGUAUAAUUUUAGCACUGAAGAUGAAUGCUAUGAUACAGAGGUACAUGGUUCUCUUGGAAUAUUCCCUGGCAAAACAAUCAUUUUGCAGCUGAGAAAACUGGAGACGAGCGGAGGAGCUGAUCCAAGGUCACACACGUCACUAGUAGACAGCAGUGUCGGUGUCACCCAAUUCCAGAACCCCAGCUUUUGCCCAUUCUCCUACAAAUGUGCCACACACACAAUAAACACUUGAUAAAUGCAACGACAUAAAAUAUGCGACCCUUAUCUGACUUAGGACUGAGGACAUAGUACCUGGAUAAUACAACAAAUAAUUACUGAAUGAAGAAACAAAUCCUCACCUUGUCUCUCUCUGUCUCUCUGUCUCUGUCUCCCACCCACCCACCCACACACACCCUCAGUCUGACCUGGCAGAACAGCCUCCUGUUGAAUGGUUCCGAGACGUUCCUGGCACACAUCGAGCUUCCUCCCCUUCUCAUCCGGCAGCCGGGUGCUCUGGGGCACUGGCAAGGGGACAGAAAGGGAAGUCUCCAGGUUUCAGAAUGGUCUCACGUUUGCAGACAUCGUGCCCAGGGCUUCCAGGCUCCUGGCUGUAGGAUGACUUCUGUAAGGUGAACAUGCUUGUCUCCUUCGUAAUCCAUGUGGAGAUUUCAUUCCUAAUGCAAUGGCUUUGAGCCACAUUUGGGUCACAAAGGCGCUAUCCUUGCAUGGGAUUGAUGCUACUCUCGUGGAGGACCAGGUCAGUUCUGGGGACACUACUGAUUUCUCUGAGGUCAUUGAAGAGAUAGAUUUGUGCUGGUAUUGUCCGGACACCUGAAGGCAGAAUGUCUUGUGCUCUGGGUGAGUGAUUUGGGGAUGACAAUGUGCAAUGUAUCUACCAUUGUUGCCCCUUUAUUUACAUGUUUUGAAUUUUUUUUUCUUUUUUUUCCUCUUUGAAAUCAAAUACAUUUGAGGCCAUUUGUGGACUGCGGGGUAAGAGAACAAGCAAUCACCAAGAAGCAAGCCCUCCCUGAGAAUCAGCACCAUGUGUGGGCUGCUGGGGGGACAGCCAGACCCCAGCGCCUUCUGGCCCAUGGGCUGGGAAGCAAAAAGAGCCAACAUCACCCCCCACCCUGACAUCACCGGCUGAUCUGGAGACACUCAGGCUGAGACGACAGCUAUUCAGGUCUCAAAACUCAGCAGCUGAAGGAGGUAGCAGCUUGGUCUAGGAGAGGAAAAGGCUGCCCCCAAAAAGCUAAGGAAGAACAGUGAACCAUCGGAUCCCAUUCUCGGCCAUGUUACAGGUGACAACUCCUUCCUGCCCAACAGAGACCUCCAGGCUUGUUUAUUCUCUGGUGAUCAUAAAACAGGGACACCUCCACAGAGACCUCCAGGCACAGGGCACCAUCUGUAAAUGGGGAGGACGUCCAAACAGUACAGUUGUACAUGGAGCCUGAGAUCACAGCUGUGCUGCUUCAGAGCCCUGGCAUCUGGGCAUCUGACUUCCAGACAAGAGAAUGGCACAGUGUCUGCUCGGAACUGAUGGAUAAAUGGGCGAAAUCUGGAGACCCUGACAACAGUCCUCUCUGCAACUGCUUAAACCCUCCUGCCCACCUCGGGCUCUGGCUCUGCCUGUGUGUCAGGAGGAAAAUAAGGGAUCGCUGGGCAUCCCUGAAGGUCUCUGAUGAGAACACAGAGGCCUAAACAGACACAUGAGCUUGAUGGGAGGAUGGUACCCAUGCCUGGUUAUUAUAAAUCUCAAGAAUGCAGUCAUCCUGCAGACAAUGCCCUCUCAAACCAAAGACCGAUCACAGCAGAAAAUGCAUCCAUAAAGAAAGAACACAGUGCCACAAAGCAAAGGAACA